UUGGAAGAAUUACUUGUGUCGUGCACAAAGUCCUAAUCGUCUUGCCAAAUAUAAUAGUUUGUUUUCAAGAAAUUUGUGGAGUGGUUAAAACACUAAUGUUGGAGUCAUUAAAACUCGUUUAUAAAAACUUCCGACUUCAACUGUACAGUCCCUGUCAUUUAGCCGUCCUGGAAAACAGUACAUAGUUUCACAACAUCCUGGCAGCUAGAAAUUACUUUUGGCUCACACUGUAGCAGAGAUGCUGAUGUAGAGGUUUGCUUUGGGUAAUUCCCAUGUAUUGUGGAAAGACAAAUGGUUUUUUGGGUGUUCCUUGAACAUUUAUCUUCAAGGCUGUAAUGCACCAAAUAUGUAGGUGAAAGAGGAGUCUAUUUUCUUGCAGAUGACCAGUUUUGUUCAGCAGUCAUCACACUGUAUUGUAAGGAUGCUGAUUUUACCGUAUGAACAGUAUACGCUGCCAGGUUAGACAAAUCAUUUACCAUUCUUGAUAUGAUCAUCACCACCAUCACCAUCUCUGUCCUUCCUCCUUCCCAUCUCUCUAACCAGGUGUCUACAAUGGUGCAAGCUGUUUCUCUUGGGUUUACAAUCCAGACAUCAAAAUCUGCUGCGCAGGGCAGCUGUCCAAUAGGAUGCUUGGAGUCCAUUAGCCGACAGAGCUAAGGCUUACAGCUGAAGCCUAGUUCAUUGAACAUCCUCGGCUACAUUAAAAUGACUUUUCCUCAUCUCAGUCAAAUGAAAGUAAAACAGCUAAAUCAUCCAUCUGCCUGUUGAGUAGUUGUUGGUCAAGGCAUGAAGACAAUGCUGUACACUACAGGGAUGUUUCUGUGUAUUUUUUAAAUGGUCAAAAUAACUCAAAGCGGCAUUAUAAGACAAGGCUGAAACUAUAUGUUGUCCACAGACCCAUUUCAGUUCGCUCAGAAUGUUUAGACAGGGCCCCAGAUUGAAGUGGGUGUCCUAUACUCCAAGCCAAUGUCCUAGAGUGCUGUUUGAUCUAAAAGUCUAUCAGGGUGUAACGAUCGUCUGUGGAAGAUGGUGUGGACCAAAGCGCAGCGCGGUACGUGUCCAUGAUUUUUAUUUGACUGAUCACUAAAACACAAUUACAAGAGAAUAAAUUAAACCGAAACAGUCCGGCAAGGUGCAAACACUGAUACGGAAAACAACUACCCACAAAAACCCUGUGGGGGAAAAGCUACUUAAGUAUGGUUCUCAAUCAGAAACAAAGAAAUACAAACACAUAGAAAGAGAGCACAGAAUACCCACCCAAAUCACACCCUGACCAAACCAAAAUAGAGACAUAAAAAGCUCUCUACGGUCAGGGCGUGACACAGGGAGAAAAUCUGCCCCAUGAUUUGCCAGUAACAAGGACUAUUUGUUGUGGUGAGAGCUUUACUUUGGCUAUAUGCUGUACACUGUCAGUUUAGUCCGCACAGCUAUUUACUCAAGCCCCAUUCCGCAACCAAUUAGAGUAGCGCUGCUCCUCUUCAGUGUGAGAGUGUACCUGACGAGUAACGAGAGCUCUCUUUGGGUCUCUUUUCUAUCAUGGCACUCUGUCCGUAGAGGAUGUCUGCACAGGUCCCCUGAGGACCGAGGGGUGCUGUGCUGUAACCAGACCUUGCACCUUGGGGUGGAGGCUGGGCACCAGUGGUCCUCAGGUGGCCACUUGUAUCUGCCAUCCCGUGACAUGGUGUGAGUCACGCGUUCAUCUCAACGAUCCAGGCAAACACUGCUGUGGAGAGGAGUCAUACAACCCUCAGAAUGAAAUCUGCUGCAACGGACUGAAACUCAGCAGGUGGAGGGUUAUGCAUGUUAUGCUGCGGAGGAAAGGCCUAAGACCCCAGCAGUGGCCAGAUGAAGUCCGUUGCCGGGACUCUGUACGACCUGCAGGUUCAGGACAGGCUCUCAGAGGAUGCCCAGAGCUGUGGGAAUGUCCUGAUGGAGGCCGGCUCCACCUGCUGCUCCGCCCCAGGACUAGACCUGCUCUACCCUACCCAGCCAGGGUUCACCUGCUGUGGGCACCGCUACCCCAACUCCUCCCUGUGGUCUUGCUGUGCGGGGGUCCUGCACCCAAGGCUUGAACAACACACCACCAGCAUGAACAUGAUUCCAGGACCUAGGAUUCUACCACUGGGGGGCCUGAAGACAGAAGUCCUGUGUGACACCAGAGGAAGAAGCCGUUACAGAUGUUACUACAACGUAUCCAAUUGACCACCAGAGACAUUCUUCAAAGGACUCGGUUGGGCAACACGGCCUUCCAUCUACCGACGCGCAGCUCAAACUUGGCAACAAGCGAUCCAGCAGGAAAGUCCCGUCCAGAACAACCAAUGAUAUUGUAUCCAUACCGUCAUCUCUACUCCCUUCAACGGAUCUCCCAUGAACCAUCAAUGACCUGUUCAUGAACAACUUUCACACGGUGUGUGCGUGCGUAUGGAUCCCCGGUUUACUGACUUCUGGUGCAUUACCUCCCUAUGACUUGCACUUCCUGCAGAGGUGGUCAAAGGAAGCAAGGUAUAUCCUACCUCAAGCUGGUCCCCCUCCGACUCAGAGCACAGAGAAUCAGACUGAUACGAACUCACUGGUUCUGGUGGACGGGAUACCACCUGGGGGGUUCGGCCAGUCGAUGGUCCUAAAGUCAAAUUGGAGAGUGUAGGGCGCCAGGGCUUUCAGUGGUUGACCGUCCAACGGUUCCAACUGGAGAAGAUUGUUGGCUUCCACCGAGGCCGGUGGUUCCUGGUCCCCUGUCUGAUUCCACCCCCCACGACACCCCAUCCACCUCCCUUGGACAUCGAGUGAAGCCCCGUUCAUACAAUCAGAUCCCUCCUGGACUCCGGAAUUUGUGGGGUUCAGCUCCAGUACCUAGUGGACUGGAAAGUGUAUGGUCCAGAGGAGCAGUGUUGGUUUUGGUGGAUGACAUUCUAGAUCCCAACAUCAUUUGAGGGGAGGGGGGAAGGGUACUGCCACAUCUACUCCUGCUCCCCCGCUCCGGUGGUAGACGUUGUGCCGGUUUACUAACAACAGGACCUGGAAACCUACCUUUACGCACACCUGGCAACCGUCAUAUCGCACACCUGCGUCUCAUCCUCAGUCACACUUGGACUUCAUAACUCAUCCUUUAUAUAGUACCCUUCUGUUAGUAGUCGUCAGGUAGUAAUGUUUGUUUCCAUGUAAGACGCUUCAUGUUUUGUGUCGUUCCAUGUUCAUUAUUAUUAAACUCACCAACUGCACUUGUU